rnacentral:rRNA from 1 species
AAAUUGAAGAGUUUGAUCAUGGCUCAGAUUGAACGCUGGCGGCAGGCCUAACACAUGCAAGUCGAACGGUAACAGGAAGAAGCUUGCUUCUUUGCUGACGAGUGGCGGACGGGUGAGUAAUGUCUGGGAAACUGCCUGAUGGAGGGGGAUAACUACUGGAAACGGUAGCUAAUACCGCAUAAUGUCGCAAGACCAAAGAGGGGGACCUUCGGGCCUCUUGCCAUCGGAUGUGCCCAGAUGGGAUUAGCUAGUA